rnacentral:rRNA from 1 species
CCUACGGGUGGCAGCAGUAGGGAAUAUUGCUCAAUGGGCGAAACCCUGAAGCAGCAACGCCGCGUGGAGGAUGAAGGUUUUCGGAUUGUAAACUCCUUUUGUUAGAGAAGAUAAUGACGGUAUUUAACGAAUAAGCACUGGAUAACGCCGUGCCAGCAGCCGCGGUAAUACGGAGGGUGCAAGCGUUAGUCGGAAUCACUGGGCGUAAAGAGCGCGUAGGCGGGAUAGCAAGUCAGAUGUGAAAUCCUCUGGCUUAACCAUAGAACUGCAUUUGAAACUGUUAUUCUAGAGUAUGGGAGAGGUAGGUGGAAUUCUUGGUGUAGGGGUAAAAUGCGUAGAGAUCAGGAGGAAUACUCAUGGCGAAGGCGACCUGCUGGAACAUAACUGACGCUGAUGCGCGAAAGCGUGGGGAGCAAACAGGAUUAGAUACCCGAGUAGUC